rnacentral:rRNA from 1 species
AUUGAACGCUGGCGGCAUGCUUUACACAUGCAAGUCGAACGGUAACAGGCCGCAAGGUGCUGACGAGUGGCGAACGGGUGAGUAAUGCAUCGGAACGUGCCCAGUCGUGGGGGAUAACUGCUCGAAAGAGCAGCUAAUACCGCAUACGAUCUAUGGAUGAAAGCGGGGGACCGUAAGGCCUCGCGCGAUUGGAGCGGCCGAUGUCAGAUUAGGUAGUUGGUGGGGUAAAGGCUCACCAAGCCAACGAUCUGUAGCUGGUCUGAGAGGACGACCAGCCACACUGGGACUGAGACACGGCCCAGACUCCUACGGGAGGCAGCAGUGGGGAAUUUUGGACAAUGGGGGCAACCCUGAUCCAGCAAUGCCGCGUGCAGGAAGAAGGCCUUCGGGUUGUAAACUGCUUUUGUACGGAACGAAACGGUCUGGGUUAAUACCCUGGGCUAAUGACGGUACCGAAAGAGUAAGCACCGGCUAACUACGUGCCAGCAGCCGCAGUAACAC